AACGAACGCUGGCGGCAUGCCUAACACAUGCAAGUCGAACGAGACCUUCGGGUCUAGUGGCGCACGGGUGCGUAACGCGUGGGAACCUGCCUUUAGGUUCGGAAUAACUCAGAGAAAUUUGAGCUAAUACCGGAUGAUGUCUUCGGACCAAAGAUUUAUCGCCUUUAGAUGGGCCCGCGUUGGAUUAGCUAGUUGGUGGGGUAAAGGCCUACCAAGGCGACGAUCCAUAGCUGGUCUGAGAGGAUGAUCAGCCACACUGGGACUGAGACACGGCCCAGACUCCUACGGGAGGCAGCAGUGGGGAAUAUUGGACAAUGGGCGAAAGACUGAUCCAGCAAUGCCGCGUGAGUGAUGAAGGCCUUAGGGUUGUAAAGCUCUUUUACCCGAGAUGAUAAUGACAGUAGCGGGAGAAUAAGCUCCGGCUAACUCCGUG
rnacentral:rRNA from 1 species